UAUUACUAUUACUAUUACAAACCGAUGCAUCGAGAUUAUAUUUCUAUUGCCUCUGACUAUGUUGGUACCUGCCAAUUAAUACGGGCUCAUUGUUACUGGUUUCAAAGGGGUUUACUACCCUUUCGAUUUUCGUACACGUUCCACGCGUUGUUAACAAUGAUCAUCAUCAUCAUCAUCAUCAUCAUCAUCAUCAUCAUCAUCAUCAUUAGCGUUGCCGUCGUCGUCGUUGCAGACAUCGCCGUCAUCGUCAUCGUCGUCGUCGUCGUUGUCGUUGUCGUCGUCGUCAUGAUCAUGAUCACCAUCGUCAUUAUCAUUAUCGUCUACGUAAUCAGAAUUAUAUUUCUAUACGUAACGUAUUCAACGUAUAUAUCCACUGUAGAAGUCGUUAAAACUCCCAAAGAAGAAGAAGAAGAAGAAGAAGAAGAAGAAGAAGGCUGGUGAUAUCCCGUGGGAAGCAUUCGUCCUCGAAAUAACCCUAGUUGUGCCUCUGGCACUAGAGAGGAGAGACCAUACUACUAUACAAGGAUAAACUCGAAACGCGUUAUAGUUUUGCCGCGUAAUGGCUCGUUCCAACAUUUACGCAGAUAAUAUGCGCGCCGUACGAAGAGCAUGAGGAUCGUUUGCGAGCGAGUUCUCUAGAAACAGAAAGAGAAGAUAGAUAGAUGAAUAGAGAGAGACAGAGAGACAGAAAGAGAGAGAGAACACCAAAGGAAACUUUCUCACCAUAUAUCUCGGAACUUCGACGAGAAUAUUCAUCGUAGAGUUGAGUGAGUGUUGAUCAUCGAUUCGGGCACACGCCAUUUCCUCGUUUGCGAAGAAAGAUCGAUAUCGGGAAGGGUGCAUCGCAAGAGAAUUGCUAGAG